GUUACACUCAAUUGUCUCAAAACACUCAAACAGUCAAACUCUCUCAUUCUCACUCCUCUCCCUUUUCUCUCUCUUUCAACUCUCGCCAUCUCUCCCUUCUGUGCGUCAGAGAAGCCGAGCACCAGAGAGCGGCCACCCCACCGGACCAUCAAACCUCUGGCUCUCAUCUCUGUCACACACUCUCUUUCGACCCUCUAUAUGUGCACACGCUGCACAGAAACGCAGCAGGAACACCACCCUCAUUCGCCAUUUUUGAUCGACCGAGAGUUCAUUAAUGAAGGAAUCCAACAAUAACGUAAGUUGUAGCUCAAUGCAAUUGAAGCAUAUCAUUGCAACUCUUUUGUGAGCUUUCAUAUUCCCCAGUGUUCAGAGCAUUCAGCCUUCAACACACAAGAUUUCAAAUUCGAUUUCUUCUUCAACAAUAUUGCUUGAAUGAAAAAAAAAGGGAUUUAAGUGGUAGAGCUUUUAUGACAACGAGGAUUGCUGGCAAGCGCUGACAUAUAGGAGGAUUUCUCCCUUCGGUAUAAAUGUUCUUUAUCUUUUACUAUAAGUUACUUGUAUCUGUCAUCACUUGUGUGAAAAGUGUUUAACUCCACCCACAUGCGCACUCUAGAAUUAGUUACUCUAGGUUUAAAUUAGUCUACACUUUCCACAUCACCAUUACUUUAUGGCUUUGUCACCUUCCAGGUGUCGGCCAACACAACUCAAUUCAAUUGUCCAGGUGGACAUUUUGGGUCGGGGUGUGUCAUAAUGAGUGUUCAUCCAAUUAUUUAAUCAGUCUAUUACAAUUUAUUAAAAAAAUUACAAUGAAAAUUAUCUAUUUUCUGUAUAAGUAAGAGUUUUGACUUAGGCAGUCUAGGCGGGCGCCUAGGUAGGUUUAGGUAGACAAAAUUGUCAGGCCUUUGUGUAGAGUUCAAUCUGAUGUACCCAAAAUAUUCUGUUCUUCUUUUCGAUGUGUGUACUUUCACUUAACAACAAUUUUGUGGAACUUGUCAACUGCAACCCACAAGGAAUUGGAACUCAUUUUUGUCCUUAACACUGUCAAAAAACCAUGAUGUUUGGUGGAAGAAUUAGA